CAGGGAGACAAAACCUGAUCAAGAUGUCUAAUACACUUUGUUUUUAGGCCUUGAUCCUGUCACCUUAGGUCGAUCGGUACCUCAAGUUGAUUGUUAGAGAAAUCGCUAAUUCGAUUUAGAUUUAGCAAUUAACUUCAGUUCCUAAACUUGUCUAGGUCACACCCAACAAGGGUACUCCUGGGCCAUUAGCUCAGGUGGUUAGAGCGCACCCCUGAUAAGGGUGAAGUCCCUGGUUCAAGUCCAGGAUGGCCCAUUCGGUGUUGGGGGUAUAGCUCAGUUGGUAGAGCGCCUGCUUUGCAAGCAGGAUGUCAGCGGUUCGAGUCCGCUUACCUCCACUGAUACACCUCCAGCUAAAGAACCAAUGGAGAUUCUUGUUUUAGAUGACUUAGAUUUAGUUUUACUUGAGAUAGAACCUAGCUUCUUAUCAUUCCUCUUUUUAAAAAGGUUGAUAUGACGCUGGGCUCACUGAGAUUUAAAGAUCUCAGAAAAGUUCAGUAGAACCUUGACAACUGCAUAGGUGAGUCUGGAAAGAAUAAAGCAUCUUCUCUUGGAUGCAUUGAUUCUAUAAAUUAGUUUAUUCUUUUUUAUUAGAACAAUGUUUAAUUCUAGAGCAAGAGCCGAGACUCCAUUUUGUUCUUUUGAAGUAUUUAUAUUUCAAAAGUUUGAUCAUAAAUUCAUUUAAUUAAUGAUGAAUUUAUGAGAAUAAUUAAGUAAGCAUUAUGGAGAUUAAU
rnacentral:tRNA from 1 species